UACAGAGGGUGCAAGCGUUGUUCGGAAUUAUUGGGCGUAAAGGGCGCGUAGGCGGUGCCACAAGUCACCUGUGAAAUCUCCGGGCUUAACUCGGAGCCUGCAGGCGAAACUGUGGUGCUGGAGUGUGGGAGAGGUGCGUGGAAUUCCCGGUGGAUGCGGUGAAAUGCGUAGAGAUCGGAAAGAACACCAACGGCGAAAGCACUCUGCUGGGCCGACACUGACACUGAGAGACGAAAGCUAGGGGAGCGAAUGGG
rnacentral:rRNA from 1 species